CAUUUUCUAUGAUUAUCUCUAUUUCAGGUAUUCGGGGAAUCCUCCUUUAGUUUCACACUGGGGAGAUCUCGACUCUUAGGAGAGGGGGGGGUUGCUUUGAACCUAUCUUUUCUCUAAGAGAAAGGUGACUGCCCUAAGGGCUAAUGACUUAAAAAAAGAAAGAGGGGAGGGGCUAGUACGAUAGCACCAUUGGUUACUACAGCAUUUUCGGUUUUUGAAUCCUUAGCGUCCUUGCUUUUCAGCUAGUUGUUGAACGACGGCAUGACCAGUUC
rnacentral:lncRNA from 1 species